ensembl:lncRNA
UCCUCCCAACGCGCAGCAGACGGGACGAACUGAAGUGAUGAGGGACGGGGGCCGUAGAUCAUCGGCCCGGUUUUGAGUCAGCGGGAGAGUGAAGCGCUUCGAUUGGUGCGUCCGAGUCGCAGCUGAACGACUAAGGAGACGUAAACCCCCCCUCGGACGUUUCUUCUCAAAGGCAUCCGCCCAAGGGAACUGGUUUCAGAUGGUGUCUUAGAGUACAAACCCCUGUCUAGCACCAUUUGAAAUCGGUGGUCUUGGGCGGGAACAGGCUCCGGGAAUCACAUCAGCGGACGGCUGCAUUUACCCCGGAUGCAUCGGGAAUCCUUCCCUCACAAAGUAGUCCUCAGUGUCGUUUGCUGUGGAUCUCAGGUCGGGCCCCCCGGGGGGGCCAGAGGGACCGAAGGCGCCGGGGCGGCUUCUCGCACAGGCUGACCGCUUUCGUGUGGUGUUCAGAGUUCCCAACACGUCUAGCACCAUUCGAAAUCGGUUACUAUGUGCAGGGACUUCCAGCAGAGCAGGGUGAGCUGCCUCAGAGGACCAGAAGGUGGCAGCAGUGAGCUGGUGUCAUUUUGUCGAUAUCAUUUUACCGAGGGCUCUUAAGAUAUCACACGUUUAUUAAAUCAGAAUAUUAAAAACAACUUUCAUCGUGUUAUUGUAUAAAUUAGGCUCUGAAUGAUAUUUGAACAACCUCCUUGGCAGAAACAUGAUUUGACUGAAACUGUAAACCUUUGUGUAUUUAAUGGUUCCUGAAGGGGAGAUUUGUAGCUUGGAAUAUUAAAAAAAAAGGUAUUAAAAUAGUUUUGAGGACACUACAGGGGAAUAAGGUAAUAUAGGCUAAUAGAUAUAAUAAAACCUCCGCAGUUGAUUAUAGACAUUAAGCCAAUGUUUUUUUUGUGGUACAACCUUUCUGAAAUAUAAAGUUUAAAUAUGCAAAUGGGAAUCUAUUAGUAACUCAUGGUCAAUUUAGGGGGAAUCUACCGACAUGAAAGGAUAUAGUGGUAAAAUAAAGACCUAAAUGUCUAUUUUGUAUGCUUAAAUAAAAAUGGGUUAUUUCUCUAUAAUGUGUUUUUUGUGUUAUUACAUUGUCACUACAGGAAAAUUGACAUAAAAUAAUCCAAUUAUUAAUCUACACCCAAUUUAUUAUUGCACACAGUUGAGG